rnacentral:rRNA from 1 species
AACGAACGCUGGCGGCGUACUUAACACAUGCAAGUCGGACGAGAAAGGGGGCUUCGGCUCCUGAGUACAGUGGCGAACGGGUGCGUAACACGUAAGUAAUCUACCCUGGACUCUGGGAUAACUUCUCGAAAGGGGAGCUAAGACUGGAUAGAGUCCCCGAGGCGCUAGGUUGCGGGGGGAAAACGGGCCUCUGUUUCAUGCUCGUGGUCCAGGAUGAGCUUGCGGCCCAUUAGCUAGUUGGUAGGGUAAUGGCUUACCAAGGCGACGAUGGGUAGCUGGUCUGAGAGGAUGAUCAGCCACACUGGCACUGAGACACGGGCCAGACUCCUACGGGAGGCAGCAGUGGGGAAUUUUGCGCAAUGGGCGAAAGCCUGACGCAGUAACGCCGCGUGGAGGAUGAAGGCCUUCGGGUUGUAAACUCCUGUCAGGGGGAACGAGAGGGGUUGGACGAAUAAUCCAAUCACUCAGACGGUACCCCCAAAGGAAGCCCCGGCUAAUUCCGUG